GCUGUGAACUCGAAGAGUAGGGCGGGACACGUGGUAUCCUGUCUGAAUAUGGGGGGACCAUCCUCCAAGGCUAAAUACUCCUGACUGACCGAUAGUGAACCAGUACCGUGAGGGAAAGGCGAAAAGAACCCCGGCGAGGGGAGUGAAAAAGAACCUGAAACCGUGUACGUACAAGCAGUGGGAGCCUCUUUAUGGGGUGACUGCGUACCUUUUGUAUAAUGGGUCAGCGACUUAUAUUCUGUAGCAAGGUUAACCGUAUAGGGGAGCCGAAGGGAAACCGAGUCUUAACUGGGCGUUAAGUUGCAGGGUAUAGACCCGAAACCCGGUGAUCUAGCCAUGGGCAGGUUGAAGGUUGGGUAACACUAACUGGAGGACCGAACCGACUAAUGUUGAAAAAUUAGCGGAUGACCUGUGGCUGGGGGUGAAAGGCCAAUCAAACCGGGAGAUAGCUGGUUCUCCCCGAAAGCUAUUUAGGUAGCGCCUCGUGAACUCAUCUUCGGGGGUAGAGCACUGUUUCGGCUAGGGGGCCAUCCCGGCUUACCAACCCGAUGCAAACUACGAAUACCGAAGAAUGUUAUCACGGGAGACACACGGCGGGUGCUAACGUCCGUCGUGAAGAGGGAAACAACCCAGACCGCCAGCUAAGGUCCCAAAGUCAUGGUUAAGUGGGAAACGAUGUGGGAAGGCACAGACAGCCAGGAUGUUGGCUUAGAAGCAGCCAUCAUUUAAAGAAAGCGUAAUAGCUCACUGGUCGAGUCGGCCUGCGCGGAAGAUGUAACGGGGCUAAACCAUGCACCGAAGCUGCGGCAGCGACACUAUGUGUUGUUGGGUAGGGGAGCGUUCUGUAAGCCGUUGAAGGUGUGCUGUGAGGCAUGCUGGAGGUAUCAGAAGUGCGAAUGCUGACAUAAGUAACGAUAAAGCGGGUGAAAAGCCCGCUCGCCGGAAGACCAAGGGUUCCUGUCCAACGUUAAUCGGGGCAGGGUGAGUCGACCCCUAAGGCGAGGCCGAAAGGCGUAGUCGAUGGGAAACAGGUUAAUAUUCCUGUACUUGGUGUUACUGCGAAGGGGGGACGGAGAAGGCUAUGUCAGCCGGGCGACGGUUGUCCCGGUUUAAGCAUGUAGGCGGAGGUUCCAGGUAAAUCCGGUACCUUAUUAACGCUGAGGUGUGAUGACGAGGCACUACGGUGCUGAAGUGAUAAAUGCCCUGCUUCCAGGAAAAGCCUCUAAGCAUCAGGUAACACGAAAUCGUACCCCAAACCGACACAGGUGGUCAGGUAGAGAAUACCAAGGCGCUUGAGAGAACUCGGGUGAAGGAACUAGGCAAAAUGGUGCCGUAACUUCGGGAGAAGGCACGCUGAUGUGUAGGUGAAGCCCCUGCGGGCGGAGCUGAAAUCAGUCGAAGAUACCAGCUGGCUGCAACUGUUUAUUAAAAACACAGCACUGUGCAAACACGAAAGUGGACGUAUACGGUGUGACGCCUGCCCGGUGCCGGAAGGUUAAUUGAUGGGGUUAGCGGCAACGCGAAGCUCUUGAUCGAAGCCCCGGUAAACGGCGGCCGUAACUAUAACGGUCCUAAGGUAGCGAAAUUCCUUGUCGGGUAAGUUCCGACCUGCACGAAUGGCGUAAUGAUGGCCAGGCUGUCUCCACCCGAGACUCAGUGAAAUUGAACUCGCUGUGAAGAUGCAGUGUACCCGCGGCAAGACGGAAAGACCCCGUGAACCUUUACUAUAGCUUGACACUGAACACUGGUCCUUGAUGUGUAGGAUAGGUGGGAGGCUUUGAAGCGUGGACGCCAGUCUGCGUGGAGCCAACCUUGAAAUACCACCCUUUAAUGGCUGGUGUUCUAACGUAGACCCGUAAUCCGGGUUGCGGACAGUGUCUGGUGGGUAGUUUGACUGGGGCGGUCUCCUCCCAAAGAGUAACGGAGGAGCACGAAGGUUGGCUAAUCCUGGUCGGACAUCAGGAGGUUAGUGCAAUGGCAUAAGCCAGCUUGACUGCGAGCGUGACGGCGCGAGCAGGUGCGAAAGCAGGUCAUAGUGAUCCGGUGGUUCUGAAUGGAAGGGCCAUCGCUCAACGGAUAAAAGGUACUCCGGGGAUAACAGGCUGAUACCGCCCAAGAGUUCAUAUCGACGGCGGUGUUUGGCACCUCGAUGUCGGCUCAUCACAUCCUGGGGCUGAAGUAGGUCCCAAGGGUAUGGCUGUUCGCCAUUUAAAGUGGUACGCGAGCUGGGUUUAGAACGUCGUGAGACAGUUCGGUCCCUAUCUGCCGUGGGCGCUGGAGAAUUGAGGGGGGCUGCUCCUAGUACGAGAGGACCGGAGUGGACGCAUCACUGGUGUUCGGGUUGUCAUGCCAAUGGCACUGCCCGGUAGCUAAAUGCGGAAGAGAUAAGUGCUGAAAGCAUCUAAGCACGAAACUUGCCCCGAGAUGAGUUCU
rnacentral:rRNA from 1 species